AUGAACGCUGGCGGCGUGCCUAAUACAUGCAAGUCGAGCGAACAGACGAGGAGCUUGCUCCUCUGACGUUAGCGGCGGACGGGUGAGUAACACGUGGAUAACCUACCUAUAAGACUGUGAUAACUUCGGGAAACCGGAGCUAAUACCGGAUAAUAUAUUUAACCGCAUGGUUCAAUAGUGAAAGACGGUUUUGCUGUCACUUAUAGAUGGAUCCGCGCCGCAUUAGCUAGUUGGUAAGGUAACGGCUUACCAAGGCAACGAUGCGUAGCCGACCUGAGAGGGUGAUCGGCCACACUGGAACUGAGACACGGUCCAGACUCCUACGGGAGGCAGCAGUAGGGAAUCUUCCGCAAUGGGCGAAAGCCUGACGGAGCAACGCCGCGUGAGUGAUGAAGGUCUUCGGAUCGUAAAACUCUGUUAUUAGGGAAGAACAAAUGUGUAAGUAACUAUGCACGUCUUGACGGUACCUAAUCAGAAAGCCACGGCUAACUACGUG
rnacentral:rRNA from 1 species